rnacentral:rRNA from 1 species
GCCAGCAGCAUACCACCCGGCAUCCCACUGCUGGCUUGCCUCUGAAGCUAAGCAGAGUUGGUCCUGGUCAGUCCCUGAAUAGGAGACCAGGUGCUGCUAGAA